rnacentral:rRNA from 1 species
GAUGAACGCUGGCGGCGUGCCUAAUACAUGCAAGUCGAGCGAACAGAUGAGGAGCUUGCUCCUCUGACGUUAGCGGCGGACGGGUGAGUAACACGUGGAUAACCUACCUAUAAGACUGGGAUAACUUCGGGAAACCGGAGCUAAUACCGGAUAAUAUAUUGAACUGCAUGGUUCAAUAGUGAAAGAUGGUUUUGCUGUCACUUAUAGAUGGAUCCGCGCCGCAUUAGCUAGUUGGUAAGGUAACGGCUUACCAAGGCAACGAUCCGUAGCCGACCUGAGAGGGUGAUCGGCCACACUGGAACUAGGACACGGUCCAGACUCCUACGGGAGGCAGCAGUAGGGAAUCUUCCGCAAUGGGCGAAAGCCUGACGGAGCAACGCCGCGUGAGUGAUGAAGGUCUUCGGAUCGUAAAACUCUGUUAUUAGGGAAGAACAAAUGUGUAAGUAACUAUGCGCGUCUUGACGGUACCUAAUCAGAAAGCCACGGCUAACUACGUG